UGAUGGGCAUGGCCAAAGAAAGAAGUGGACAUUGUUGAUGCACUCAAGUCACAUUCUGAAUAGUGUAAGUGGUACCAGUUGCUAAUGUCUCUGAUUUUGUUUAUGCUAUAAACAAACCCAGUGGAUUAAAAACUGCUUUGAGCCACUCACUCAUAAAACUUCAGAAUGUGACUUGUACUAAAUCUUGGCUGUCAUAGAAACCAACAAACAACAACGAUCAAGAUCGACUUGUCAGCAGUACACAGAUUUAUUAUAUUGAAUAUGAUGGACAUGGUCAGAGAGAGAAUAGGACAUUGUUGAUGCACUCAGGUCACAUUCUGAAUAGGUAGUGUAAGUGGUACCAACCGCUAAUAUCCCUGGUUUUGUUUAUCCUAUAAACAAACCCAGUGGAUAAAAACUGCAUUGAGCCACUCACUCAUAAAAGUUCAGAAUGUGACUUGUACUAAAUCUUGGCUGUGAUAGAAACCAACAAACAACAGCGAUCAAGAUCUACUUGCCAGCAGUACACAGAUUUAAGAUAUUGAAUAUGAUGGGCAUGGUCAGAGAGAAAAUUGGACAUUGUUGAUGCACUCAAGUCACAUUCUGAAUAGGUAGUGUAAGUGGUACCAGUUGCUAAUGUCCCUGGUUUUGUUUAUGCUAUAAACAAACCCAGUGG